CGUUAGUUUGUUUCAAUGAAUUGCUUUUCAAAAAAAAAAAAAAAAAAAAAAUUUACCAGAUUUUGUGAAUGAUUUCGAAACUUAUAUGGUAGCUCAGAAACACUGCAACAUGAUCAAACAAGCCCUCGCCGCCGUUAUCACAGGUUUCAAGGAGAAGACAUGAAUGCGUUCAAGGCUUUUAAAACCAAUGUUCCAAUUGCAUGGAGCCCUAAUCUGUAUAUAACUCUGGUGAGUGGAAUCCCAGGAACCAGGAGGCUUCACAGGCGCACUUUAGAGGCACUAUGUCUUCGCAAAUGCAACCGAACUGUCAUGCCAUGGAACACUCCUACUGUUAGGGAAUGAUCCAACAGGUCAAGAGAUUGGUUGUGGUUGAGACAGAAGAGACGCAAACAAAAGGAUGCAGAGACCACUGAGCUCCUGGUUCCCCAUUGAUUAUAAAUCACCUUCCUGCUUCUGCAAAUGGUUCUUCUUCAUAGCCUACGUAAUUGAUUAGAGGUCAGCUCUCGGUUUCUCCUGUAGUGUAUUUUGUUAUAAGCCGCCAAAGCUGGAUCCAGUUGGCAUAGUGUAUUUUGUUAUGGUACACACACUGCUUUCGAUUGCUUUUUUAGGACCAAUAUUACAUAGUAGCAUUUAACUCCUUACACCUACUAGGGUCCCUCUUUUGCUUCAAUUCUUAUCUUCCCAAUAUCCUCAAGUAUCAUGUCAUUAGAGUUCUUCAGCUCUUAGCCUCUGCGAUGAGACACCAAUACAAAGGCAAGGAAAACUAGAAGAAAAAUUGGUCCUAACGCAGCAAGCAGAAGAUAGAAGUUCUCUAGCCUUCCAUUGUUCAAAUCACUUCGUAGGCAGCUCUU